ACAAGUGAGCAAGGUGGAACCAAGCCACUGGGAUAAGAGAGCCGCUACAGGGCGAACCAGGACCUCAAAGGAUCCGCUCCCAAGGGAGCCAGGACCAAGUAUAAGGAACGGCAGCCCUGGCAAUGGGCAGCAUGGCUCAGCAGGAAACAAUAUACACAUCCAUUAACAAGAAACUGGCUAGUUGCUGCUUUCUACCCUCCUGUGGACAGUCUUGUUAUGGACUUAAGUGUAACUCCUCUUAUCAUGGAGUAAAUAGAUACUGU